ACUGUCAUAUCACGUUGGAACGCCGGUUCCUGUACGAUCACCGAAGUUAAGCAACGUCGAACCUGAUUAGUACCUAGAUGGGUAACCGCUUGGGAAUACCAGGUGCU